rnacentral:lncRNA from 1 species
AAAACCAACUUUGAUAAGUGGGGCAUUUCGAUGUCCAAAAUUUCAAGCAUUCUUCAUGUUAAUUAUUAUGAACUCGUUUAGAUGUGAUUUUAAAAUGACUGAAAGCACUUUUAAAGAAAAUGUUUAUAUGCUUAUUCUAGGAAGCACUUUAAAUGUUUUUCCAAGAUUUACUUGCAUCUUUACUAAAGAUUGGUUCUAAAAAUAUUUUCACCAAAAACGCUUUCAGUCAUUUUAAAAGCAUAUCCAAAAGAACUAUAUAACUUUGCAAGAGAAAUGUUAAGUAGAUUCUAUCAAAAUGAGAUUCUCUCAAAAUUGGACUUUUUGUAAACUCUCUGUCACUUUAUGUUUUUGGCACAAUGUUUUGUACUGUUGACACGAAAAUUUGCAUUAAAUUGUGAGGUGACAGAGAGUUUAUAGAAAGUUUCAUUUUGAGUAAUUCUCUUUAACAAUCCACUCUCUUUGCAAUUCCAAAGUUAAGACAGAGAAAAAAAAAUAUAGUAGUAAAAUAAGUCACACAUGAUGGACCUACACCAUUCUAUGGUAGUAAUUUUAACGCGUGAUUGUAUUAUUUAUUUUUUACCAGAGAUAUUUAAAUAAGAAAAAUCGAGCAGGUGAUCUUGACUUGUAAGUUCCUUCAUGUAAUAGGACUUGUGCGAUGCUAAAAUCUUGGAGAGUUCACGAAUUAAUUAAUGAUGAUCUCAUUUCUACUUUUUUUAUUGGGAAAAUUAGAAUGCCCUACAUCUUUUCUAUAGUUGUUAGAUUAAACAUGCAUCCCUUUUAAAGAUUUGAUUAAGGUGCUUUGAUCAAUUGCCACCUCAAUAAUUUUCUAUUUAUUUAAUUUCCAUAUCAUUAAUUUUCCUUAAUUUAAAUGCAUUUAUAUAGAGGCAUAAGGUAGCUUAGCAACUAAUUGCCUAUAAUAUAGGAAUUUAAUUUCGUCAAUCCUCUUCUACACAUUAAAUGAUAUUUUUUUAAUAAAAUAAAAUAAAAAAUUAAUUAACUAAUUCCUCAUUUCCUUAUUAUCAGUAUUUAAAAAAAUUAUAUCUUUCUAUUAAAAAUGUCUCAAUAAAAAUCUUCAAUACAUAUUUUUUUCACGUAUAGAUAUAUAAAAAAUAUACUUAAAACUUAUGGUACAUUUGAAAACAAAAGUAUCAACUGUUGGUAUGUUUAGAUUUCAAAUGUACCGAGAAACCAAAUGUAUCAUAAAACCAAAUGUACCCAUUAUUAUGUAACCCUUUUGGUACAUUUAGAUUUCAAAUAUAUAGAGAAAUCAAAUGUACCAAAAUUUCAAAUGUACCAUAAAUCCAAAUGUGCCCAUUGUCAAGUAACCCUUUUGGUACGUUUAGAUUCCAAAUGUACCAAAAGACCAAAUGAACAAAAAAUCCCAAAUGUACCACAAAAUCAAAUGUCUCUAUUAGAUAACCCUUUUGGUACAUUUACAUUCCAAAUGUACCGAGAAAUACAAAAAAUCAAAUCCACUAUAAAACUAAAUGUGUCCAUAUUAUAGGUAACUAGACGUAGCUAUAUAAUCAAACAAAUAUUUAUUAUGUGUUGGAUCUUCUAAAUAAUAAAAUCUAACAAUUUUUUUUUGUAAAUAUUGUACUAUAUUCACACAAAAAAGUAAAAAUUAUAACAAACAAUAAAAAAAUGCAUAAAGAUGGAUAAUAAAUGCAUAAAUAUAGGGAUAAUAGGAAAAGAAAAAAAAAUGAAAUGCCCAGGAGAAGUUGUGAAAAACUAAAAUUCUAAACAAAAUUGAACUUAUGUGAAAAAGCUGAAAUUAAUAACCAAAAUUUUAGGAAAAUGUUUAAUCAAAUUUUCAAAAGGAAUGUAUGUUUAGUCUAAAAAAUUAAAAAAUGAGGUGCCUAUAUCAAAACGCCCCAUUUUUUAUUCUUAACUAUAUAAUUAUUUAUCUGUUUCAUGACUCUCCUAUUUAACCCUCUUCCUACAACACUUUUAUCAAACAACCACUUUCA